UGUUCUGUGUUGUGUGUUUUGUGUGCACGGGUGUGUUUGGCUUGGAGCUGCUCUGCCCGGGGAUGUAGAGUCAGGGGUAGGUGGAACAGCAAUAAGAGUCUGUGGGUGAAAUGUUGAUUUGCCUUAAUUCUUUAGGCGAGGGUUGUACAGUAAUCUUGGCUCUAGUAGCCAUCGGCGGGCUUUGCAGACAGCCGUGCCGAUAGUAUUUUACGGACACGAUUGAGCUAUGUGGCAUGGGCUGUUGAGGGGUAAUGAAGCAGAUUUGAGUCUCUAAGGUGUUAAGUCUUGCAAGUGAUGGGCCUAAAGUUUGGCCCCUUUCUUUUCUUUUUCUAAGAUGGCAGGCUGUAGUUGGACUCCAGAUGGUAUUCCUAGAUGGAAUCAAGACCUCUGGAAUUGUUAAGCUCUUGCUGUGCAUCUUGGUGACUUGUUCAAUAUGGUUUUUUUUUCAGAUGCAGAGGGACAAGUUGUGUGCCACAGAGCGAUGGAGGAGGGGAGGGGAGCAGCGUAAGAAGGUAUGAAGCAAGGAGCGAAGCGGGCCAUUGGUACUGGAGGCGACUUGGGCAAGGUGGCGCACGCAGCCUUGGAGGGGUGAAGUCGCAGGCUGAUGAGCAGUGUGAGAAGGUGCUGUGCGGGCCACCUUUGGAAUGGAAUGAGCGUUUGAGGUGAGCUGUAGCUUAGGGAGGAGGAGUGUGGGGCCGGUGACUUCUCACGACUGCUAUGCUAAUUUUGUGUGUCUUGCUGUCUCUAGGUACCACGAGAGAUGAUGGCUGCAGGGUCUGACUCUGGAAUGAGCAGAUGAUGAAGAGGAGCCUGGCGACUGCAGGAACAUCCUAGUGAGCCGGCGUGGUUUUUCUGGAUGAUGGAUUCAGACCCUCGACCCUCUGAAAGCUAAGUUGAGGGACCCAGGCUGGGGAGAGGCUGGAAGGGAGGGACACAGCUGGGAGUUGCAGGGAGGGGUUUUAAAGUUAUUGCAGGAGAGAGGGCUGUCCCAAAGCCGUCCCCUUUGCGCAGGCAAAGGGAGCGGGUUGCUUUUCAGCACGAGACCUGCGUGUGCUGGGCAGGGCAGUUCCAGUCUGUGUCCACGGUGGUGUGUAGUUUGUGUAGUCUGUCUUCUGUGGUUAGACCUUCCUCAGGCCUCGAUGUCCUUGUCGCACUUUGUGCCGGAGAAGC